rnacentral:rRNA from 1 species
UUUUGACCGAAAUGUACUAUUUUUGGCCUUUUCGUGAUCUUUGUUAUAUUACGGGACAAAAAUUAUAUGUUCGGACAUUGUUUUCGAAUAUUUUUGCAUGUAUCAAAACUCUUAUAAGCAAGAUAGGGUAUUCCUACAUAGCUGGUGGGACCUACCGCAAAUGGAUCAUAAAGUCUUCAAAAAAGAAUAUAUAUAAUUGCAUUGCAUGUAGUAACGAAUGCGAUCCUACCAGCACUAAUGCACUUGAUCCUAUCAGAACACCGCAGUUAAGCGUGCUUGGGCGAGAGUAGUACUAGGAUGGGUGACCUCCAGGACAAGUCUUCGUGUUGCAUCCCUCUUUUUUUUGGUUUUUCUCUAUUUUUUUUUGUUAAAAAUGUAUGACUCAAUAACUUCUAGACCG